rnacentral:misc_RNA from 1 species
UUUCUUCUCUAUUACACUAUAUAAUUUUAUGCUGGUAGUUUACCAUCUUGGUCAUUUCAUAUAUGCCGUUAUUUGUAAGCAUUUAUCUUGCUGUGGAUCGAGGGUUCGGGCUAGAAUUUAAUUUGGUGGCUUCUGACCUGUAACUUCUCCUCUUAUGUUUAACUUUGAAAUGCUUUCAAACAAUUUGGCUUGUGAGCUAUAAAUUAAUCGCCUUUUUACAUUCUGGGUCUGAUUACUGAGCCGGGAGGGAAAUAAAAAAAGAAUCUCAGCACCGAUUAAGCUCAUUUUUACUACUGCUUCCGUUGGUACAGCCAGAGAGGAACUCAAACAUUGUCUCCCGAUCUAUUAUUUCAAGAUGGAAUUGAACUGCUAGGACAAUUUGACUGAUUACGUUCAUUAUUCAAAUGGUAAAAUUCCAUUGCAUAAUGCAGAGCCUAAUUCUAGAAUGCUCUACUUAAUAUUUUCCAAUAAAUGUUGUAUUUGAAAUUUUAGAUUUGAUUAAAAAUAAGGUGUAACCACCACCCUCUUGUUAGAGUUUAAAUGUGAGGUGUGAGAAAGUGGUAAAAAUUUGUGGAAUAAAACUGUUGUGCGGAUAAAUGGUGCAUAAGAUCUUGUGAGGUACUUGCUUUAGCAGUACGAGCGAAUGUUCACUUCUCUCAUUUAACGUGGAAUUAGGGUUUAAAAAUAGAAUGAAAUAUCUUUAGUUUUUCUAAGUGGUAAUUUGGGCUUGGGUGCAGGUGAGGUUGAGCGAGUAGCAGGACACACAUCAAAAGUAAAAGUGCACACAUAUGGCACACAGUUUGUUAUUACUGGAUUCAACUAUUUGUUUUUGUGCAACUGAUGCUGAAAUUUGCAUAUUUUGUAAUGUAUAAAGGUACAGGUGAUUUGGGCGAGCGACCCAGUUUCACAACGGAGGGGAGGAG